AGCUCCAAUAGCGUAUAUUAAAGUUGUUGCAGUUAAAAAGCUCGUAGUUGGAGUGGAGGGGGCGGAGCGGCGGCGCUUGCCGAAAUGGUUGAGCGGCGCCGGUCGCCCUUUACUGAUUGGGGCCGGGGGCUUCGUGCCCGCAGUCCCAUUGUUUACUUUGAAAAAAUUAGAGUGUUCAAAACAGGAUUUGCUUCCUUUGAAUAUUGCAGCAUGGGAUAAUAAAAUAAGACUUUCAUCUUAUUUUGUUGGUUUUCAAGAUGAAGGUAAUGAUUAAUAGGGACAGUUGGGGAUAUCAGUAUUUCGUAGUCAGAGGUGAAAUUCGUGGAUUUACGAAAGACUAACUUAUGCGAAAGCAUUUAUCAAGGAUGUUUUCAUUA
rnacentral:rRNA from 1 species